GUCGGUAUAACCAACUUGGACAUCCCAUUUCAUUAUACACGGGAUUGGAAAUUCUAUGAAAAAAUACAUAGAUGCAAUGCCAUCAUAAAAGAUAUUAUCUUUUUGUAAAGAAAUAAUUUUGGGAGAUAUGUCUACUCAUUGAGUAUAUAAACUUUUGAAUAAAGGAGGAAGUAUUUCUAAUGAUGGACCAUAUAAUUUCCACCAUUUGAAGAACCAAUUAGGAAUUUGCUGAUCGCUUAUAUUAGAAUAAAGUUUGAUAAACCAUGAGUGCUUCCUAUUAGGAUUCUCAUAAAGAAAAGUUUUAUUAAAACUUUCAACAUAGUCCCAAUAAUUAAAUUUAACUGAGAUUUUUUUAUCAGGA
rnacentral:lncRNA from 1 species